rnacentral:sRNA from 1 species
AUGCAUAUUGGAUAUCUAAAUAGAGAUAUCAAGAAAUGAAGAUAUGAGUUUCCAGUUCCAGGGAGAAAUUCAGACUAGAAAUAUAAAUUUAGGAAUUUUAAAGUUAGUGGUCACAUUUAAAGCUGCAGAAUACAAAGAGAUCACCUGUGUGAGAGAACUGAGUCCUGAAACAUACCCAUGUUUAAAGAUCUGGGAGGUGUAGAGGAACUAUCAAAGGAGACUGAGAAGGAGCAGCCGGUGAGAUAAGCAAAAAGAAAAGUAAGAGAUACGGAACUGGACUUCCCUUUGGCAAAAAAUUUAGAAAAUGAUAAUUAGGCCUUGGAGAUACAAUAAUGGUACAAGAGAACAUAUUCAUGACCACAAGAAGCUGACAGACUAGGUAUAUUGAGGAAAUAAGACAGAUUGAGGCCAAAUCAGGGGAAUCUUCAGGCUUGCUUCAGGAAAUCAUAGGAUGAAUUAUUGGACCAUCUACUACUCUGCCUUUUCAUCCUCAUGAAACACUGAGAUGAUUUAUAUGAAUCAAAUUGCUGGUGAUUUUCCAGGUCCAAUAUGAGUUAGUUAGUAAAUCUUAUGCACCAU